UACGAAGGGGGCUAGCGUUGUUCGGAAUUACUGGGCGUAAAGCGCAUGUAGGCGGAUAUUUAAGUCAGGGGUGAAAUCCCAGAGCUCAACUCUGGAACUGCCUUUGAUACUGGGUAUCUUGAGUAUGGAAGAGGUAAGUGGAAUUCCGAGUGUAGAGGUGAAAUUCGUAGAUAUUCGGAGGAACACCAGUGGCGAAGGCGGCUUACUGGUCCAUUACUGACGCUGAGGUGCGAAAGCGUGGGGAGCAAACAGG
rnacentral:rRNA from 3 species